ACGAACGACUGCAUUUGAGCCUACACACUGACCCCUACCGGUCAUUCGGUCAGACAUUAUUGCAUUUCAUGUACAAACCAACAAACCACUGCAUUUUUCACCUUCACACUGACCCCUAUCGGUCAUUCGGUGUACUACAGGCUUCUUAGAUGUAUUUGCAUUUCAUGUACAAACCAAUAAACCACUGCAUUUUCACCUACGCACUG